rnacentral:lncRNA from 1 species
AGGGUCCACCACAUCUUGGAAGGAAAUUUCAAAGCUCAUUUAAAGUCAGCCCCUCACAUAGCCCUGCUUGUCUAACUUUUUUCUGAAUGUGAUUUCAGAAGUAAAACCAGGCCAGGGGCCGGGACCCUGCGGUGAGUCUCACUGACCGUGACCUCUGGAGAGUCAACUGAAAUGGAGAGGAAGUUAUUAAAGGAGAGACAAAUACCAAGGACAUAUCGGGAGGAAUAUUGUCCACAGCAAAUACCAAGGACACAUCAGGAAGGAUGUUGCGGAGAGAGAGGACAGUGCUAGGACUGUCUUUUUCUAUAUCAGACACGUGGGAUCCUGCUGUGCCUUCCUGGAAACCGAGGCCAAGAAUGGAGCAGACCAAGAGGAUGCCAGGAAAAAUCACAAAGAAGCCCAGAAAGCACAGCUGGAAGCCAAGAACCUUAUUUUUGGUUUGUGUGGGUGGAAGAUGAGGGACAAUAUAUAGUGAACAAUAGGAUUCUUCAUUUGAAAGACAGUGGAGCACAUCAGACCUGUGUAUUUGGGUGAAGUAUGAUAAACUGAACAUCAAAGACUAUGGAAAGGAACAUGACCUAGUUUAU